ACACCAAAGUUUUAUUUUUAGUACCGGUAUCCAAUCAAAAUGUGCCAGGCGCAAUGUCAAAUUAUUUCACAUAAUUUAACAACAAGCUAAAUAUAGUUACAAUCACUAUUUAAUCUAUCAUUAUUUAAUUAUAUAUAGCACUAACCAAAAUAUAAAAAAAAUACAUUAAAUAUGGCAUGAAUACUCAUGCUAGAAGUAGCCGGCAAUCAGAGUUACAACCAUAAAGGCAGUUGUAGGACACAAACAUUUAAUAACAUGUGACUUUAUCAGGUCUUCAUUUUUCUUUGCCCGCCAGCUGUGAGAAAAAUGAAGGUCUGCAUGGGCACAGGUUAUAUAAAUCCCAUGUAAACAGAGAUGAAAUUUGCCUCAGUAAAGCAAGCUGUCAAGUUUGGUAAUGGGGCUGGUUUGCCUCCAGACAAACAAAUCUCUGUAAAUACUGUAAAAUGUCUAAAAUGUCAAACUACCUCAUCCCCCCACCCCCCUCACAACCCCCCUCCUGGUAUGAACAGCAGUAUCAAAUAGACACAAACUUUAAUUAUUAUGUUAUAAAUACAUACAAAUCUACAUUAACUGUGGAGCCAAUUUUCCACUUUAUGCACUUCUUGAACUGAACAAUUAACAAUGUACUACAAUGUAAAAUAUACAUAAAUUCCACUUACUUUAGAGC